rnacentral:rRNA from 1 species
GAUGAACGCUGGCGGCGUGCCUAAUACAUGCAAGUCGAGCGAACGGACGAGAAGCGUGCUUCCCUGAUGGUAGCGGCGGACGGGUGAGUAACACGUGGAUAACCUACCUAUAAGACUGGGAUAACUUCGGGAAACCGGAGCUAAUACCGGAUGAUAUUUUGAACCGGAUGGUUCAAAAGUGAAAGACGGUCUUGCUGUCACUUAUAGAUGGAUCCGCGCUGCAUUAGCUAGUUGGUAAGGUAACGGCAUACCAAGGCAACGAUGCAUAGCCGACCUGAGAGGGUGAUCGGCCACACUGGAACUGAGACACGGUCCAGACUCCUACGGGAGGCAGCAGUAGGGAAUCUUGCGCAAUGGGCGCAAGCCUGACGGAGCAACGCCGCGUGAGUGAUGAAGGUCUUCGGAUCGUAAAACUCUGUUAUUAGGGAAGAACAUAUGUGUAAGUAACUGUGCACAUCUUGACGGUACCUAAUCAGAAAGCCCCGGCUAACUACGUG